rnacentral:rRNA from 1 species
UCUUCGGAAAUCCCUUAGCGGUUAACGGGUGAGGAACACGUGAAGAAUCUGCCCUCCACUUGGGAUAACACCGGGAAACCGGUGCUAAUACCGAAUAUGAAACAUAAGUGGCAUCACUGAGUUUGAAAGAAUUUCGGUGGAGGAUGACUUCGCGGCCUAUCAGCUAGUUGGUGAGGUAAUGGCUCACCAAGGCAACGACGGGUAGCCGGCCUGAGAGGGCGACCGGCCACACUGGGACUGAGACACGGCCCAGACUCCUACGGGAGGCAGCAGUGGGGAAUAUUGGGCAAUGGAGGAAACUCUGACCCAGCGACGCCGCGUGCGGGAUGAAGGCCUUCGGGUUGUAAACCGCUUUCAGUAGGGAAGAAGCGAAAGUGACGGUACCUACAAAAGAAGCACCGGCUAACUAUGUGCCAGCAGCCGCGGUAAUACAUAGGGUGCAAGCGUUGUCCGGAAUUAUUGGGCGUAAAGAGCUCGUAGGUCGUUUGUUACGUCGGAUGUGAAAACCUGAGGCUCAACCUCAGGCCUGCAUUCGAUACGGGCAAACUAGAGUUUGGUAGGGGAGACUGGAAUUCCUGGUGUAGCGGUGGAAUGCGCAGAUAUCAGGAGGAACACCAAUGGCGAAGGCAGGUCUCUGGGCCAAUACUGACACUGAGGAGCGAAAGUCUGGGGAGCGAACAGGAUUAGAUACCCUGGUAGUCCAGACCGUAAACGGUGGGCACUAGUUGUGGGAACCUUCCACGGUUUCUGCGACGCAGCUAACGCAUUAAGUGCCCCGCCUGGGGAGUACGAUCGCAAGAUUAAAACUCAAAGGAAUUGACGGGGCCCCGCACAAGCAGCGGAGCAUGCGGCUCAAUUCGACGCAACGCGAAGAACCUUACCAAGGCUUGACAUAUAGGGAAAAGUGGCAGAGAUGUCAUGUCCGCAAGGGCUCUAUACAGGUGGUGCAUGGUUGUCGUCAGCUCGUGUCGUGAGAUGUUGGGUUAAGUCCCGCAACGAGCGCAACCCUCGUUCUGUGUUGCCAGCAUUUAGUUGGGGACUCACAGGAGACUGCCGGGGUUAACUCGGAGGAAGGUGGGGAUGACGUCAAAUCAUCAUGCCCCUUAUGUCUUGGGCUGCACGCAUGCUACAAUGGCCGGUACAGAGGGCUGCAAACCGUAAGGUGGAGCGAAUCCCAAAAGCCGUUCUCAGUUCGGAUUGAGUCUGCACUAGACCUCAUGAAGUUG